UGGGGAAUAUUGGACAAUGGGCGCAAGCCUGAUCCAGCCAUGCCGCGUGAGUGAUGAAGGCCUUAGGGUUGUAAAGCUCUUUUAGCGGGGAAGAUAAUGACGGUACCCGCAGAAAAAGCCCCGGCUAACUUCGUGCCAGCAGCCGCGGUAAUACGAAGGGGGCUAGCGUUGCUCGGAAUUACUGGGCGUAAAGCGCACGUAGGCGGACUCUUAAGUCGGUGGUGAAAUCCUGGAGCUCAACUCCAGAACUGCCUUCGAUACUGGGAGUCUUAAGUUCGGGAGAGGUGAGUGGAACUGCGAGUGUAGAGGUGAGAUUCGUAGAUAUUCGCAAGAACACCAGUGGCGAAGGCGGCUCACUGGCCCGAUACUGACGCUGAGGUGCGAAAGCGUGGGGAGCAAACA
rnacentral:rRNA from 1 species